UGAGCGGAUCGAGGGAGGUUCUCGCUGUCGAGAUCAACGUCGGCUUUCAUGGACUUGCACUCCUUCACCAAGCUAAUGAAUUUUCUCCAUUGUUCAACUCAUAGAUUCGUAUUCACUUUCUUCUUCACUCUGCAUUUACCACUAAACUCGGUUCAUUCUCAAUCGAUUCAUUGAAGCUUAAAACAGAUUAGUCGUUGCAAAAAUGAUGUCUCCGAAGCCACUUUCAGAAAAUCGAGGUUCAUCUCAUUCUGCUACCAUGAGGCAAACCCCCUUGCAGAUAAUCCAUGUUGUUGGGAACUUUAUGAGAAUAUGGUCAGUUUACUCCAUGUACCGCUAUUUGUCUCAGACAGGGGCUUCAGUUGUUCUAUUUAUGUUCUGCUGUCUUCUUCCAUCAUGCAUCUGGUUUCUAGUAGCGCAAAAGCCUUGGAAGGGCAGGGCACUUGCUAAUACACAGGUGGUACCUUCAGUUGUAAAUGGUGGUAUAACAGCUCUUUACUUCAUCUUGUGGGGAAAGGGCCUAAAAUCUUGUGGUCCCGUUCGGGCCAUAUUGGGUGAGUAUUCUGGUGCUGUUCUAGGAGUAUUAUCCGGGGUACUGUAUGGCAGGGGGGGCCAUGUUUGGAAAAAGGUUGGUGGACUCCUAGCGAUGCUUGCAUCCUUCUACUUUUUAUCACAAGGAUGGGCAAUGGCUACAUAUUCUCCAUUUCCAUUUAGCAAUGCCUCCUCUGAUGAUGAAGCACAUACUGAACAGCUAGUAGGAAUGAAGGAAAUGUUAUUUCCCAUUCUUGCUGGAAUCUUAUCAGCACUUCGGAGGGUGAUCGCAAGAAGGGUCUCACUUAAGAACCAACUGAAGAGGCGACUCCAUGCCAUAACCCUUACUUCUGCGACAUGCUUUUUGUUUCCUGUUGCCAUGUGGGACAUGAUUAUAGGAUCUAACAAUGUAGAGCUGCCCUUUUCUGCCUGGGCUUUUUCAAGCACCAUUUUAUUUGGGAUGAUAUUGAUUUUUUACAUUGAUAGCAUCGCAGAAGAGAGGUUGCAUAUGGUUUUCUCUUCUCCAAGGCACUUAUUGGUUGCGGCAGGAUGCAUCAUUGUCAUGGAGAUAGUAUAUAAAAUGGACUUCUCGUUACUCGGCUUUCUUGUUUGUGCUGCCAUCUUGGGAAUCGGCAUAUAUGAAGCUACAUCAUUGGAUCGUUCUAGGAGAGAUUCUUUCCAAGGCUCAAGCUCCAAUGGCAUCUUGGACGAUCAAGUUGAAAUGUCUCCACUUCCUACUUGAUCUACAUAGUUAGUAUGAUGUUCUGGUGGCAUCUAGCUUUGCUUCUUUGAGCAUUUACAGUGCGAUAGCUAUCAUACUUUUGACUCUUAACAGUGAUGCAAAUGAGGAGAAACAUGUUUUCCGGAUACUCCUUAUUGUGUCGUGGUAAUUGGCCUGAAACUAUUUAUAAUAUCAGUACUUCCCAGUUAUGCCCAAAUAUCAAGUGCCUGGAAUCAUGGAGAGCACAUCAAAGAAUAUACAUAACAAGAAGAGAAGUUCUGUGCCAUUCCCCUAGCUGGUUGCCAUGUUGCAUCAACAUUGAAUUUGUGUUAUGAUUUGAUUUAUAUGACCAACAUGGUUAGUGAAAUAUUUGUACAAACAGUAUAUAUACCUUCCCAUAUUUUAUGGACCGUUUCUUUUCUUCUCUA